GCUCCCUGAUGUUAGCGGCGGACGGGUGAGUAACACGUGGGUAACCUGCCUGUAAGACUGGGAUAACUCCGGGAAACCGGGGCUAAUACCGGAUGGUUGUUUGAACCGCAUGGUUCAAACAUAAAAGGUGGCUUCGGCUACCACUUACAGAUGGACCCGCGGCGCAUUAGCUAGUUGGUGAGGUAACGGCUCACCAAGGCGACGAUGCGUAGCCGACCUGAGAGGGUGAUCGGCCACACUGGGACUGAGACACGGCCCAGACUCCUACGGGAGGCAGCAGUAGGGAAUCUUCCGCAAUGGACGAAAGUCUGACGGAGCAACGCCGCGUGAGUGAUGAAGGUUUUCGGAUCGUAAAGCUCUGUUGUUAGGGAAGAACAAGUACCGUUCGAAUAGGGCGGUACCUUGACGGUACCUAACCAGAAAGCCACGGCUAACUACGUGCCAGCAGCCGCGGUAAUACGUAGGUGGCAAGCGUUGUCCGGAAUUAUUGGGCGUAAAGGGCUCGCAGGCGGUUUCUUAAGUCUGAUGUGAAAGCCCCCGGCUCAACCGGGGAGGGUCAUUGGAAACUGGGGAACUUGAGUGCAGAAGAGGAGAGUGGAAUUCCACGUGUAGCGGUGAAAU
rnacentral:rRNA from 1 species